rnacentral:rRNA from 1 species
AUUGAACGCUGGCGGCAGGCUUAACACAUGCAAGUCGAGCGAGCGGCGGACGGGUGAGCAAUGUCUGGGAAACUGCCUGAUGGAGGGGGAAAACUACUGGAAACGGUAGCUAAAACCGCAUACCAUCAGAUGUGCCCAGGUGGGAUUAGCUAGUAGGUGGGGUAAUGGCCCACCUAGGCGACGAUCCCUAGCUGGUCUGAGAGGGUGACAGGCCACACUGGAACUGAGACACGGUCCAGACUCCUACGGGAGGCAGCAGUGGGGAAUAUUGCGCAAUGGGCGCAAGCCUGAUGCAGCCAUGCCGCGUGUAUGAAGAAGGCCUUCGGAUUGUAAAGUACUUUCAGCGAGGAGGCGUUACUCACAGAAGAAGCACCGGCUAACUCCGUGCCAGCAGCCGCGGUAAUUC